rnacentral:tRNA from 1 species
GGAGGAGUGGCAGAGUGGUUGAAUGCGGCGGUCUUGAAAACCGUUAGGCUCGAAAGGGUCUCGGGGGUUCGAAUCCCCCCUCCUCCGCCA